CGGGGCCCGCCGACGCGCUCACACGGGACGGCGAGAAGGGCAAGCCAGGUAACUUAGAAAGCAGUUACAAACAGGAGGAAAUCUGCAGAUGCCGGAAAUCCAAAGCAACACAUACAAAAUGCCAGAGGAACUCAGCAGGAUGGGGAGUGUCUAUGGAAAAGAGUACAGUCGACGUUUAUGGCCGAGACCCUUCAUCAGGAAUGGAGAAUAAAGAAGAGAAAUGAGACUAAGAAGGUUGGAGGCUACCCAGACGGAAUGAAAGGUGUUGGUCCUCUAACCUGAGUGUGGCCUCGUCAUGGCAGUAGAGGAGGGCACAGACUGACACGUCGGAUUGGGAAAUGGGAAGCGGAAUUAAAAUGAGUGGCCACCGAGAGGUCGCUCCCCUUUGAUCCCCCGCUCAGCUCUCGUCUAUGGCUCCAAGUACCUGCUAUAUGCGACAGCGGCCACACCCUGGUACACUGCCUCGACAGGCCGCUUAAACCAGUACCAUAAGCAGCAUGCAGGCAGCUGAGAGUUUGCUGUUGGACACCGAGACAGAAACAGAAGCGAUCGCAACCACGGUCAAAGACAGACUUUUGUAUCAGCUACGCAAUUUGGAAGGCGACCAGAGGGCUUAUCGUGAAGAGUCUGAACGUACCAUCACAAGGCAAUUAAUGAAACAGCGUCGCACAGAAAAGGACCAGCUGAUGGCGAAUGGAAUAUAAAGCUGACAACAUUGCCUGGCUGGUAUCUUCUGACCGAUGUCCUAACCAAAGUGUGCUAACUUUAAAAGCAAAGGUGAAAAUGGCCGAGCUUUAUUUGUCAAAUGUACAUCGAAACGUAUGGUGAAAUGCGUCAGCAGCCCGAGGCUGCGAUGGGGGCAGGGUGCAGGUAUCACCGUGCUUCCAGCACCAACGUAGCACGCCCGCAAUUUACUAGCAGCGUGUUUCUAGAAUGUGGCCGGAAACCCGAGCACCCAGAGUGGUCGGGGA